UACGAAGGGGGCUAGCGUUGCUCGGAAUCACUGGGCGUAAAGGGUGCGUAGGCGGGUUUUUAAGUCAGAGGUGAAAUCCUGGAGCUCAACUCCAGAACUGCCUUUGAUACUGAGGAUCUUGAGUUCGGGAGAGGUGAGUGGAACUGCGAGUGUAGAGGUGAAAUUCGUAGAUAUUAGGAAGAACACCAGUGGCGAAGGCGGCUCACUGGUCCGGUACUGACGCUGAGGUGCGAAAGCGUGGGGAGCAAACAGG
rnacentral:rRNA from 1 species